UUGUUUGAAAGCAGAGCAUUGAUGUAGAAUAGUAGGUAUAGAUGACAGAUCACGAGCGAAGUGUCAUCGCUCAAGUGGCCAGGUUUGCACGCAUAUACACAU